AGUUUCCAGCACCAAACUUGUGUCGGCCAACAUUUGAGUCAAAAAGCUUGCUCAGAUUGAAAAAAGGGGGUUGCAAAGAGUGGCGAACGGGUGAGUAACACGUGGGAAACCUACCUCUUAGCAGGGGAUAACAUUUGGAAACAGAUGCUAAUACCGUAUAACAAUGACAACCGCAUGGUUGUUAUUUAAAAGAUGGUUCUGCUAUCACUAAGAGAUGGUCCCGCGGUGCAUUAGCUAGUUGGUAAGGUAAUGGCUUACCAAGGCGAUGAUGCAUAGCCGAGUUGAGAGACUGAUCGGCCACAAUGGGACUGAGACACGGCCCAUACUCCUACGGGAGGCAGCAGUAGGGAAUCUUCCACAAUGGGCGAAAGCCUGAUGGAGCAACGCCGCGUGUGUGAUGAAGGGUUUCGGCUCGUAAAACACUGUUGUAAGAGAAGAAUGACAUUGAGAGUAACUGUUCAAUGUGUGAAUGGUAUUCUUACCAGAAAGGAACGGCUAAAUACGUGCCACCAAGCCGCGGUAAUACGUAUGUUCCAAGCGUUAUCCUGGAUUUAUUGGGCGUAAAGCGAGCGCAGACGGUUAUUUAAGUCGGAAGUGAAAGCCCUCAGCUCAACUGAGGAAUUGCUUUGGAAACUGGAUGACUUGAGUGCAGUAGAGGAAAGUGGAACUCCAUGUGUAGCGGUGAAAUGCGUAGAUAUAUGGAAGAACACCAGUGGCGAAGGCGGCUUUCUGGACUGUAACUGACGUUGAGGCUCGAAAGUGUGGGUAGCAAACAGGAUUAGAUACCCUGGUAGUCCACACCGUAAACGAUGAGUGCUAGGUGUUUGAGGGUUUCCGCCCUUAAGUGCCGCAGCUAACGCAUUAAGCACUCCGCCUGGGGAGUACGACCCGCAAGGUUGAAACUCAAAGGAAUUGACGGGGACCCGCACAAGCGGUGGAGCAUGUGGUUUAAUUCGAAGCAACGCGAAGAACCUUACCAGGUCUUGACAUCCCUUGACAACUCCAGAGAUGGAGCGUUCCCUUCGGGGACAAGGUGACAGGUGGUGCAUGGUUGUCGUCAGCUCGUGUCGUGAGAUGUUGGGUUAAGUCCCGCAACGAGCGCAACCCUUAUUACUAGUUGCCAGCAUUCAGUUGGGCACUCUAGUGAGACUGCCGGUGACAAACCGGAGGAAGGUGGGGAUGACGUCAAAUCAUCAUGCCCCUUAUGACCUGGGCUACACACGUGCUACAAUGGCGUAUACAACGAGUUGCCAACCCGCGAGGGUGAGCUAAUCUCUUAAAGUACGUCUCAGUUCGGAUUGUAGGCUGCAACUCGCCUACAUGAAGUCGGAAUCGCUAGUAAUCGCGGAUCAGCACGCCGCGGUGAAUACGUUCCCGGGUCUUGUACACACCCCCCUGUCACACCAUGAGAGUUUGUUUCACCCAAAGCUCGUUGGGGGUAUACCUUUCUGGCGUAGGACCCG
rnacentral:rRNA from 1 species